GCCUUUGAGGUGUAGUUGUCAGCAUGCUCGACGCGUAAUCGAGAGGUCCGUGGUUCGAGUCCCGGCGAAGGCA
rfam:Stegodyphus mimosarum contig94564, whole genome shotgun sequence.